AUGGACCGGCGGCCGGAGCUGCGGCGCGCCAUGACGCUCAAGGAGCAGCUCUCCACGCCCGCCGAACCGGCCAUCCGCGACUUCCUCAGGAUCCCGGACGACGACGACGACGACAGCGCAGAAGACAGGCCGUGCACGCUCAUGGACGCCAUCGACCGGGACGUUCGAGGCGAGGGCGGCUCUGGCGGUGCGAUCAACUGGAGGCCGCUGCCCCACCGGCUCUGGGUCCGUCGCGCCGCGGGCGCGUGGCACGCGACAGGGUCGACGGCCAAGCCUCCCCGCGCCGUGGCGAGCAGAGCCUCCCCGAGAAGCAGCUACAAGUACCACCCGUCCCCCGGCGAGGGAUCGGUGGCCGUGGCCUUCACCCGCGCCCCGUCCCCGCGCGCCGUGGUCGACGACGACGAGGAGAACGACGUAGAAGAGGAGGACGGACACAACGACGAGCCUCCGCCGGUGGCGGCGGCGUCGACGUCACUGAUGGCGCUGCUGGAGCAGACGGACAUCCACUUGGAAGCUGACGAGGACGGCGGCGUGACCCAGUGCGGCAUGGUCGAUGUCAACGACGAGGACGGCCACGGUGACCGGCACGAAGAGGAAGAAGAGGAGGAGGCGCAGGUGUGCUGCGUGUGCAUGGUGCGGCACAAGGGCGCGGCCUUCAUCCCGUGCGGCCACACCUUCUGCCGCCUCUGCUCCCGCGAGCUCCGGCACGCCCGCGGCAACUGCCCGCUCUGCAACGUCUUCAUCCAGGACAUCCUCCAAAUCUUCUGA
rnacentral:rRNA from 1 species